ACAAGACCACCUCUACAAGAAACACUUAAAGUAUUGACACGUGUGACUUUCAUAAUGGGGAGAGAUAGAAAAGACCACCUCAGGAUCUCAGAUUGCCUGUACUGUGGUCCUUCUUUCCUUGAGGUGUGCAACAGUU
rnacentral:snoRNA from 1 species